UCUGCCCAGUGAUUUAUUAAAUGGCUGCAGUAUUUUAACUGUACAAAGGUAGCAUAAUAAUUAGUUUCUUAAUUAGGAACUGGAAUGAAAGAUUGAACGAGACAAUAACUGUCUUAAUUUUAAUUUAAGAAUUUUAUUUUUAAGUUAAAAAGCUUAAAUUUUUUUAAAAGACGAGAAGACCCUAUAGAAUUUUAUAUUAUUAUAAUAUUUAAAUUUUAGUAUAUUAAUUUUAUAUUUUUGUAAAGAUAUUUAGUUGGGGUGAUUGAAAAAUUUAUUUAACUUUUUUUUUUAUUAAACAUUUAUUUAUGUUUUUUUGAUCCAAUAUUUUUGAUUAUAAGAUUAAAUUACCUUAGGGAUAACAGCGUAAUUUUUUUAGAGAGUUCUUAUCGAUAAAAGAGAUUGCGACCUCGAUGUUGGAUUAAAGUUAAUUUUUAAUGUAGAAGUUAAAAUAUUAGGUCUGUUCGACCUUUGAAACUUUACAUGAUCUGAGUUUAAAUCGGCGUGAGCCAGGUUGGAUUCUAUCUUUAAUAAGUUUUGAUAUUUUAGUACGAAAGGACCAAAUAUUAUUUAUAAUAAGUUUUAUUGAAUAAUA
rnacentral:rRNA from 1 species